rnacentral:rRNA from 1 species
GGGUGUGACCAUACCAGCACGAACGCACCGGAUCCCAUCAGAACUCCGAAGUUAAGCGUGCUUGGGCGCGAGUAUUACUAGGAUGUGUGACGCCCUGGGAAGUCCUCGUGUUGCACCCU